UACGGAAGUGGCUAGCGUGGUUCGGAAUUACUGGGCGUAAAGAGCGCGUAGGCGGCUUACCAAGUUGGGGGUGAAAUCCCGGAGCUCAACUCCGGAACUGCCUUCAAAACUGGUAGGCUCGAGUCCGGAAGAGGGGCGUGGAAUUCCCAGUGUAGAGGUGAAAUUCGUAGAUAUUGGGAAGAACACAGGUGGCGAAGGCGGCGCCCUGGUCCGGUACUGACGCUGAGGCGCGAAAGCGUGGGGAGCAAACAGG
rnacentral:rRNA from 1 species